rnacentral:lncRNA from 1 species
CGUUACAACCACUGAGCAGGACACACGCGUUAUACUAGCAGCGACCAAAGACUGAACACUAGUCACUACUUCCGCUUUUCUUUGUUACAUUUGUUAAGUUUAUAAUAUAUAUUUUUUUAAGUACAUACUAUCGCCCACUGGUGGUUCCAGUGGUAACAAAAAUGGGAAGAUAUAAGAGGGGACUUGUGAGCUUCUAUAGCGCAAAAAAAGUUGGCACAGAACCUCCAGAA